rnacentral:rRNA from 1 species
CCUACGGGUGGCAGCAGUGGGGAAUAUUGGACAAUGGGCGAAAGCCUGAUCCAGCCAUGCCGCGUGUGUGAAGAAGGCCUUCGGGUUGUAAAGCACUUUCAGUGGGGAAGAAAGCCUUGGGGCUAAUACCCUCGAGGAAGGACAUCACCCACAGAAGAAGCACCGGCUAACUCCGUGCCAGCAGCCGCGGUAAUACGGAGGGUGCGAGCGUUAAUCGGAAUUACUGGGCGUAAAGCGCGCGUAGGCGGUCUGAUAAGCCGGUUGUGAAAGCCCCGGGCUCAACCUGGGAACGGCAUCCGGAACUGGCAGGCUAGAGUGCAGGAGAGGAAGGUAGAAUUCCCGGUGUAGCGGUGAAAUGCGUAGAGAUCGGGAGGAAUACCAGUGGCGAAGGCGGUCUUCUGGACUGACACUGACGCUGAGGUGCGAAAGCGUGGGUAGCAAACAGGAUUAGAUACCCUUGUAGUC